rnacentral:lncRNA from 1 species
CGAAGCAAGCUUGAAGAGGUUUGAAUUCAAUCACUUAAGGUGGGGUUUACUUUUAUCUGUAAGCGUAGUUGUUACAUGGUUAUAAUCAUUGUUGUGUUGUGCGUCAUUCAUAUGAACUAAUGGGACCCACAAGGGGUCGGAUCCACAAGGGAUCAAAGAGCUGAACGGCCCACAAGGGGUCAGGUCCACAAGGGACCGAGACUAGUCUCACAAGAUGUCAGCUAAGUGAAAAAUUAUAAGAGUUCAACAUGUUAUGAUUCAUUACACAAUUGGUUAUAACUGCUUGCAGUGUUUACCCCACUGAGUGUGCUUGCACACUCAUACCCUAUUAUUUAUGAUUCUUUUCAGGUUAAGGAGUUGACGGCAAGACGGCAGACAUGGAGCUCCACAUUCUCCCGUUCUAUUAUAUGAUGAAGUAUUAUAUGUUGUUGUUUUUGGUAAAUAUAUCUUGCUACUAACCAACUUAAUCUCUUCUAAUUUUGGUGGGUCGAGACUUUAUAUAUAUUGGUUUAUGAUCAUGAAUUUUGAUGACGGCUGUGACCGAUUAUAUAUAUUUUGUUUACCGUAUGUGUAGUUACGAGCUGUGCCUCGAACACGUUAAUUAUAAUAUUAAACUUGAUGGUUUUGCUUGUACUCCACCUUUUUAUAUAUAUAAAUAUGAUGCUUAGAUAAAGUUAUUAUUGAAUGUUGUUUAUAUAACUUACAGCUUCCGUUGCCUUUAAAAUAUAUAUAUAGUGUAUUGGCAGGAAUAUUAUUGUAGUUUAUUAGCUUCCGUUACAUAUUUUUUUAUAUUGGAAAAGAGAAAUAAAAUUUUGAUAAUUUUUCUAUUACACAUAUAGUAAUAUUUAUUAUAUUACUAUAUAAUCAAAAAGGAAAUUCUUUUUUUUCUAUUUUUCUUUAUAGCCUAAUAUUGUAUUGAAAGUGAUAUAAUAUAUUUACAUGCAUUUAUGAGGUUCACUGACUGCUUUUGGUACUCAGCCCUGCAUAUCUUUCUAAAUGUGCAGUUAAGUUGGGAUGAAGAUGGAAGUGUGCUGAGCUGGAGCUUUUUGUUAAUGUAAAUAGUGAUAGGCUCAAGAUGUUGUGUCUUCAUACAUAAUGUCCAAUGAUGUACUCCGCUGCAACACUUUAUUACUCUUAUCACUUUUGACGUGUUGUAGAAUGUUUCAAAACCUUCACCUGUGUAUGAAAUUGACAAUCUUGGUUAU